GCCGGAGUGGUGGAACCUGCUAGACACGAUGGAUUCAAAAUCCAUUGAGGGAAACCUCGUGAGGGUUGGAGUCCCUCCUCCGGCACUA
rnacentral:tRNA from 2 species